rnacentral:tRNA from 4 species
GCAAAAAUAGCUCAAUGGUAGAGUAUAACCUUGCCAAGGUUAAUGUUGAGGGUUCAAAUCCCUUUUUUUGCU